rnacentral:rRNA from 1 species
AGCAGCCGCGGUAAUUCCAGCUCCAAUAGCGUAUAUUAAAGUUGUUGCAGUUAAAAAGCUCGUAGUUGAAUUUCGGGAUUAGUACGUUGGUCGNGCCUUAGGUACGUACUGGUGUUACUGGUUCCUACCUUCUGACGAACCAUCAUGUCAUUAAUUUGGUGUGGCGGGGAAUCAGGACUGUUACUUUGAAAAAAUUAGAGUGUUUAAAGCAGGCUCGCGCNUGAAUACAUUAGCAUGGAAUAAUGAAAUAGGACGUUGACCCUAUUUUGUUGGUUUCUAGGAUUGACGUAAUGAUUAAUAGGGAUAGUUGGGGGCAUUAGUAUUCAAUUGUCAGAGGUGAAAUUCUUGGAUUUAUUGAAGACUAACUACUGCNAAAGCAUUUGCCAAGGAUGUUUUCANUAAUCAAGAACGAAAGUNAGGGGAUCGAAGACGAUCAGAUACCGUCGUAGUCNUAACCAUCAACUAUGCCGACUAGGGANCGGAUGAUGUNAAUUUUUUAAUGCACUCA